rnacentral:tRNA from 1 species
UGAUAAGUAGCUCAGUUGGGAGAGCACACUGCAAAAAUGAGGUCGGUGGUUCGAGUCCACUCUUAUCAC